rnacentral:lncRNA from 1 species
AUGGAGGCGGGGCCACCGCUCCCGGUACCGCCCAAUGGAGGCGGGGCCACCGCUCCCGGUACCGCCCAAUGGAGGCGGGGCCAUCGCUCCCGGUACCGCCCAAUGGAGGCGGAGCCAUCGCUCCCGGUACCGCCCAAUGGAGGCGGGGCCAUUGCUCCCGGUACCGCCCAAUGGAGGCGGGGCCAUCGCUCCCGGUACCGCCCAAUGGAGGCGGAGCCACCGCUCCCGGUACCGCCCAAUGGAGGCGGAGCCACCGCUCCCGGUACCGCCCAAUGGAGGCGGGGCCACCGCUCCCGGUACCGCCCAAUGGAGGCGGAGCCACCGCUCCCGGUACCGCCCAAUGGAGGCGUGGCCACCGCUCCCGGUACCGCCCAAUGGAGGCGGGGCCACCGCUCCCGGUACCGCCCAAUGGAGGCGUGGCCACCGCUCCCGGUACCGCCCAAUGGAGGCGGAGCCAUCGCUCCCGGUACCGCCCAAUGGAGGCGGGGCCAUCGCUCCCGGUACCGCCCAAUGGAGGCGUGGCCAUCGCUCCCGGUACCGCCCAAUGGAGGCGGGGCCACAGCUCCCGGCCCCGCCCGCGCGGUGACCGGGGGCGCUGGUUCGGUUCCCGGCGGUGCCCGCCGGGGGUCCCGAGCGGUGACCGGCGGUGCCAGUUCGGUUCCCGGCGGUGCCAGUUCGGUUCCCGGCGGUGCCGUUUCGGCUCCCGGCGGUGCCGCCUCUGCCCCGGCGGGCGGGGUCUGGGUCUCUCUCGGGCCGGAGCACCGGGCCGGGCGCCGGGGCCGAGCCGGCGGCGGCGGCGAUUUCCCGGUGCUGACUGAAACCGGCCGGGGCGUGGGGACUCCCGUGCCGGCCCCAGCACCCCCAAACCCCGCCGCUCCCCGCCGUGCCAGGGAAUUUUCUUUUUUCCAGCGUAGGCCGAGACAUUUUUAUGAGAUAACUCAAAACUCAGGGGUACAGGAUCUGAGGGGAGAGAAGAGAUUCUGGUAUAAAUUCAAAAUGCGUUGCGAAAAACAACACGAACAGCUCAUUUCCUCUCCCAGCCCGGUUUCUGUGUGA